rnacentral:rRNA from 1 species
GAUGAACGCUGGCGGCGUGCCUAAUACAUGCAAGUCGAGCGAACGGACGAGAAGCUUGCUUCUCUGAUGUUAGCGGCGGACGGGUGAGUAACACGUGGAUAACCUACCUAUAAGACUGGGAUAACUUCGGGAAACCGUAGCUAAUACCGGAUAAUAUUUUGAACCACAUGGUUCAAAAGUGAAAGACGGUCUUGCUGUCACUUAUAGAUGGAUCCGCGCUGCAUUAGCUAGUUGGUAAGGUAACGGCUUACCAAGGCAACGAUGCAUAGCCGACCUGAGAGGGUGAUCGGCCACACUGGAACUGAGACACGGUCCAGACUCCUACGGGAGGCAGCAGUAGGGAAUCUUCCGCAAUGGGCGAAAGCCUGACGGAGCAACGCCGCGUGAGUGAUGAAGGUCUUCGGAUCGUAAAACUCUGUUAUUAGGGAAGAACAUAUGUGUAAGUAACUGUGCACAUCUUGACGGUACCUAAUCAGAAAGCCACGGCUAACUACGUG